CGCCUGUUUAACAAAAACAUUUCUUUUUGAGUUUUUAAAAGGUAUCUUCUGCCCUAUGAAUAUUUUAAAUGGCUGCAGUAUUUUGACUGUGCAAAGGUAGCAUAGUAAUUAGUUCUUUAAUUGGGAGCUUGUAUGAAUGGAUGUAUGAAAAGUAAGUUUUAUUAAUUUUAUUAUUAAAAAUUUAAAUUUAAGUUAAAAUGCUUAAUUAUUUUUUUGGGACGAUAAGACCCUGUAGAACUUUACAUUGAUUUUAUUAUUUGCUUUUUAUAAAUAAAGGUAUGUUGAUGAAUUCAAUGUUUUGCUGGGGUGGUAGAUAAAUUUUAUCUUUAUUUUUAAAAAUCAAUAAUUUUUGUUAUUUAUGAUCUUCAAUGAAAUUAUAAGAUUAAGUUACCUUAGGGAUAACAGCGUAAUUUUAGUGGAAAGUUCAUAUUUAUACUAAUAUUUGCGACCUCGAUGUUGAAUUAAGUUAAAUUUGAGAGGCAGUUCUCUCGUUAAUAAGUCUGUUCGACUUUUAAACUCUUACCUUGAUCUGAGUUCAGACCGG
rnacentral:rRNA from 1 species